ACCCUCCUGUGGUGCAAUGGGUCAGCACAUCUGCUUGUUAAUUGGAAGGCGGGCGGUUCAAACCCUCUCAGGGACA